UUAUUUCCCUUUGUCAGGUUGCUCUCCACUAAGGUGGUCAUGAGGAAUUCCCGGAGGAAUUCAUGGUUUCCAUCACAUCUAUGCCUUUGAUAUUUGAACCUUUUAACUUCAUUGUUUUUCUUCUCCUCUUGUGCUUCUUCUUCAUUCCUUUGUCUUGUAAGAGAGGUUGCUAGACAGAAGGUUUUUGAAGCUUGGCUAUCUUCUCAACACUCUCUUUUCCGGCCAUCAUAGAUCACCUUGAGCUAUAAUCUUGGAUUUCUUUUGAAUUUAGGAGAUCACCAAAUCAGGAGCAGUAGACCCAGGGAUAUUAGAAGGCUUCCAGUAGAUGUCUUCUUUGGGAUUUAGGUCUUAAUGCUUAUGUCUUUGCAUCAGUUGUAUUUUUGAUUAAGAACCUCCUUGUAGGU